rnacentral:rRNA from 1 species
ACUGAACGCUGGCGGCAGGCCUAACACAUGCAAGUCGAGCGGCAGCGGGAAAGUAGCUUGCUACUUUUGCCGGCGAGCGGCGGACGGGUGAGUAAUGCCUGGGAAAUUGCCCAGUCGAGGGGGAUAACAGUUGGAAACGACUGCUAAUACCGCAUACGCCCUCCGGGGGAAAGCAGGGGACCUUCGGGCCUUGCGCGAUUGGAUAUGCCCAGGUGGGAUUAGCUAGUUGGUGAGGUAAUGGCUCACCAAGGCGACGAUCCCUAGCUGGUCUGAGAGGAUGAUCAGCCACACUGGAACUGAGACACGGUCCAGACUCCUACGGGAGGUAGCAGUGGGGAAUAUUGCACAAUGGGGGAAACCCUGAUGCAGCCAUGCCGCGUGUGUGAAGAAGGCCUUCGGGUUGUAAAGCACUUUCAGCGAGGAGGAAAGGUUGAUGCCUAAUACGUAUCAACUGUGACGCUACUCGCAGAAGAAGCACCGGCUAACUCCGUGCCAGCAGCCGCCGUAACAC